rnacentral:rRNA from 1 species
AUUGAACGCUGGCGGCAGGCCUAACACAUGCAAGUCGAGCGGAAACGAUCCUAGCUUGCUAGGAGGCGUCGAGCGGCGGACGGGUGAGUAACGCGUGAGAACCUACCCAUGAGUGGGGGACAACCCGGGGAAACUCGGGCUAAUACCGCAUACGCCCUACGGGGUAAAGCAGGGGACCUUCGGGCCUUGCGCUGAUGGAUGAGCUCGCGUCGGAUUAGCUUGUUGGUGAGGUAAAGGCUCACCAAGGCGACGAUCCGUAGCUGGUCUGAGAGGAUGAUCAGCCACACCGGGACUGAGACACGGCCCGGACUCCUACGGGAGGCAGCAGUGGGGUAUCUUGGACAAUGGGGGCAACCCUGAUCCAGCCAUGCCGCGUGUGUGAAGAAGGCCUUCGGGUUGUAAAGCACUUUCAGCAGGGAGGAAGGCUUACCCCUAAUACGGGUGAGUACUUGACGUUACCUGCAGAAGAAGCACCGGCUAAUUUCGUG